UUUUACAAAAUGCGAGUGUAUGUUUUCGAAACUUCAAGUCGUCGCUAACUACAAAACAUGUAUUACCAUAUAAGAAAGAUUUAGAGAAACUAAAAGACCCACCAACAGAAUACUCUUUCAUCGAUCGUGAGCAUUGGAACAUAUUUGUCGCUUCCAGAUUAACCGAACAAUUUGAGAUGGUUAGCAACAAGGGUCGUGAGCGGAGAAAGAACAACAAGUACAACCACCGAAUGUCGCGAAAAGGUUAUGCAAACCUUACCGAAGAGAUGAAAGCAAGCACAUCUAAUGGUGAGUUAAUUGAUCGUGCUUUAGUAUGGAAGAAAGCACGAACUACUAAAGAUGGAGAGAUUCCAGACAUAGACACAAAGGAGGUGGCCAAUAAAAUUGUAAGUACUUUCCUCUUGUAAGGGUGUUUUUUUUUUUUUUUUUUUUUGUACUUACUAAAAAUACUAUAACCUUUUCAUGAUAGGACAACCUACUUGU